rnacentral:tRNA from 1 species
AAGUGAAGCCCAACCGCAGCAAAAACUGCUAACUUUUGCCUCCUCGGUUAAAUCCCGGGGGUCACUCA